rnacentral:tRNA from 1 species
GAGGGUGUGGCUUAGCGGCAGAGCACGUGCUUAGCAUGCACAAGGUCCUGGGUUCAAUCCCCAGCACCUCCA